GAUGAACGCUGGCGGCGUGCUUAACACAUGCAAGUCGAACGGAAAGGCCCCUGCUUGCUGGGGUACUCGAGUGGCGAACGGGUGAGUAACACGUGGGUGAUCUGCCCUGCACUUCGGGAUAAGCCUGGGAAACUGGGUCUAAUACCGGAUAGGACGAUGGUUUGGAUGCCAUUGUGGAAAGUUUUUCGGUGUGGGAUGAGCUCGCGGCCUAUCAGCUUGUUGGUGGGGUAAUGGCCUACCAAGGCGUCGACGGGGAGCCGGCCUGGGAGGGUGGACGGCGACAUUGGGACUGGGAUACGGCCCAGACUCCUACGGGGGGCAGCAGUGGGGAAUAUGGCACAAUGGGCGCAAGCCUGAUGCAGCGACGCCGCGUGGGGGAUGAUGGCCUUCGGGUUGUAAACUCCUUUCGCUAGGGACGAAGCGCAAGUGACGGUACCUGGAGAAGAAGCACCGGCUAACUACGUG
rnacentral:rRNA from 1 species